rnacentral:snRNA from 1 species
UUGCUCGCUUCGGCAGCACGUGUACUAAAAUUGGAACGAUACAGAGAAGAUUAGCAUGGCCCCUGUGCAAGGAUCACACGCAAAUUUGUGAAGCAUUCCAUAUUUUU